AACUGCUAAUUGGUGACACCGAGUUCUAUC
rnacentral:piRNA from 1 species